UACGUAGGGGGCUAGCGUUGUCCGGAAUCAUUGGGCGUAAAGCGCGUGUAGGCGGUCCGGUAAGUCCGCUGUGAAAGUCGGGGGCUCAACCCUCGGAUGCCGGUGGAUACUGUCGGGCUUGAGUACGGAAGAGGCGAGUGGAAUUCCUGGUGGUAGCGGUGAAAUGCGCAGAUAUCAGGAGGAACACCAAUUGCGAAGGCAGCUCGCUGGGACGUUACUGACGCUGAGACGCGAAAGCGUGGGGAGCAAACAGG
rnacentral:rRNA from 1 species